rnacentral:rRNA from 1 species
UACACUCCUACGGGAGGCAGCAGUGAGGAAUAUUGGACAAUGGGUGGAAGCCUGAUCCAGCCAUCCCGCGUGCAGGAAGACGGCCCUAUGGGUUGUAAACUGCUUUUAUCUGGGGAUAAACCUACUUACGUGUAAGUAGCUGAAGGUACCAGAAGAAUAAGCACCGGCUAACUCCGUGCCAGCAGCCGCGGUAAUACGGAGGGUGCAAGCGUUAUCCGGAUUUAUUGGGUUUAAAGGGUCCGUAGGCGGACUGAUAAGUCAGUGGUGAAAUCCGACAGCUUAACUGUCGAACUGCCAUUGAUACUGUUAGUCUUGAGUAAGGUUGAAGGGGCUGGAAUAAGUAGUGUAGCGGUGAAAUGCAUAGAUAUUACUUAGAACACCAAUUGCGAAGGCAGGUCACUAAGUCUUAACUGACGCUGAUGGACGAAAGCGUGGGGAGCGAACAGGAUUAGAAACCCUAGUAGUCCCAUG